AGGAUAAUUAUAAUUUUUAUUUCAAAAAGAUAUAUGUUCAAUUUAUUUUAAAAAUAAAGUUGCUACACGUGCUUUCUUGAUUGACAGUCUUUAUCAUUUGCAUAUGGAUACGAGUGUCAAUAUUAACGAGCAAACUGAAAAUGCCAUAGGGUCUAAGAGACUUAGAGAUAGGAUUAGCCAAAAGUAUCUGUGGCACCUUAGGUUAGGCUAUAUAGG
rnacentral:lncRNA from 1 species